UACAGAGGUCUCAAGCGUUGUUCGGAUUCAUUGGGCGUAAAGGGUGCGUAGGUGGCGGGGUAAGUCAGGUGUGAAAUUUCGGAGCUUAACUCCGAAACUGCAUUUGAUACUGCCUUGCUUGAGGACUGGAGAGGAGACUGGAAUUCACGGUGUAGCAGUGAAAUGCGUAGAGAUGUGGAGGAACACCGAUGGCGAAGGCAGCCCCCUGGGCCAACACUGACGCUCCAGGCACGAAAGCG
rnacentral:rRNA from 1 species